GCGAGAGUGGUGGAACUGGUAGACACGCAAGAUUUAGGAUCUUGUGCCGCAAGGUGUGGGGGUUCGAGUCCCCCUUCUCGCACCA
rnacentral:tRNA from 1 species